CAGUAGCCACGGUAAUCCGGAGGGGGCUGGCGUUGUUCGGAAUUACUGGGCGUAAAGCGUACGUAGGCGGUUUUGUAAGUUAGAGGUGAAAGCCCGGAGCUCAACUCCGGAAUUGCCUUUAAGACUGCAUCACUUGAACGUCGGAGAGGUGAGUGGAAUUCCGAGUGUAGAGGUGAAAUUCGUAGAUAUUCGGAAGAACACCAGUGGCGAAGGCGGCUCACUGGACGACUGUUGACGCUGAGGUACGAAAGCGUGGGGAGCAAACAGGAUUAGAUACCCGGGUAGUCCCUGUCUCUUAUAC
rnacentral:rRNA from 1 species